UCUCAGCAACCCGAGAAGGUUCUAGAAGAGUGACAGCUGGAGACAGUUCGGGAGACAGGAAAACUGGCAGCCAGUGGAAAGCCUGAGACCAGACUGUGAAGUGAAAGAAGCUGUUGCCAGAAGCUCUAAGAAAAGGGGUUUGGUAUAAUUACCGCCCUGAAACUUGCUAGUCCUGUUGUUGUCAUUGCCAGAGAAGGCUCCGGAGUGUCCUGCUGCUGCUGCCACCCGGAAGGCCCGUAGGACAAAGACAGUACUGUUUGCUUAUGUUCUCAAGCAAGGAUCUCCAUUGUGAGAUUUAAAGUAAUGUUUCCAUGCAACUGACAGUUGAGAAGCUGCUCUCUGACUUCACCACAUCCCUGGGAGAAAAGAACACCCAGAUUGGUCAGACCAUUUCUAAAUAACGGGAGAAGAGGAGGAGAGUGGAACUUCGAAUCUGAAUGACAGCAUGGUUUGCAGCUCUCAACCUGCAUAUCAAAAUGAAUACUUGCCAGAUGAAGUCUGCUACGUAGUCUUGUUUACAGAGGUCAAGGUCUCCUGUUCUGGAAUCUUGGCUUAGAUGGUCUUUGCUAAAACAGUAUCUAUGCAGAACAAAACUCUGAAAUGACUGAGGCCUGUUAUAUUUUCUUCUGUUAGCCAAGAGAACAGAGGAUCGCUCUGGAAUGUUAAGUGAACUAAGUGACUCAGCUGUCCUCUCACUGAUAGUUUUGGUGGCCCAAAUGAGAGUGUUUGGACUUCUUUUGGAUGGAACCAGGAUGCAUGAAGCAUGACUACUGCAGUAGCCAUGAAUCAGGACACAUA